rnacentral:tRNA from 1 species
GAGGCAUUAGCUCAGUUGGUAGAGCACCUGACUUUUAAUCAGGGUGUCGUAGGUUCGAGUCCUACAUGCCUCACCA